UGUAGGGAUGAGAGCUGGCACAAAGGCAAGUUUGCCCUGCCCAGGCCAGAGUCCAAACCCUGUACCUUCCCCAGGUUGUCCAGUGGAGAGACCCAUGAGGAUGUCCCAGGCUUGGGCUCCUACUGAAUCAGGGUACUCAUGAGGCCAGUUGAGUCCAGUCAGCAGCUACCUCUGGCCCACUGACUUCCUUCCUCUCAUCCCUUGAUUCGAAAUGCAGUUGGCAACCUCACUUCCUCAUAAGACUUGCAGGCAUAUUUGAGGUAUCCCUGAGGGAUGGGGUUUAGACUCCCUGCUUGCUAAACAUCUACAUUGUUUUUACCUCUUCAAUCCUCAGGUUAACAUGUGUGAAAUGAAGAAUUCAAGGGAAAGGGAGUUCUUGGGUUCCACUCGAAAGGGAGGGAAGCAGAGGGUCGGCUGGGCUGAUUCUGAUGGUACACUGGACAACAGGGCCAACGAGGAGCCAGGAGGAAGACGGAGCCUGAAAAGGCAAAGGACCAACGGCAAGCAAGCCUCUGGGGUCUCCUUCGGGAAGAAGUCAAAUCUUCGAGAUAGUCUGAGAUCGUUGGAACAGCAGGCCUGAGAGGCCAAGCUAUGUCUUCAUUCAAGAGGAUCGGCUAUUGUGUCCAAUGAGAUCAUUUAGAAUUUGUUUUGCAUUAUGAUUGGCUUUUGUGAUGUUGAUGCAGUGAUAGAUCAAGGACUUUGCCACUUCAGCCCUGGGUGCCUAUGGGGCCAGGGUCAACACCUUGACAGCCAGGAAGGAGAUCUCUGGCCAGGAACAGCUGACCUCAUGACAGAUAAUGACCUCUUUAAUUCCUGGAUGGCGCUCAAGCUCCAGGGUUCCCACCUUCAAAACCUAGAAUAAUGGGAGGCCUCUCUAGGAUGAUUUCUAAGCACCCAAUGGCAGGACUACUCCUAUACUUCAGCCUGUGCCUAACUUGCCAUUUACACUGUGGUCUAGUUGAAUGGAAUCUCCCAGAGUAUGGGAGGCACGGUCUGCUCAACCGUAUAUCACAGUCCUGCAAGUUCCAUCAAGUGAAGCUCCCAGUCUAAAAAGGGAGGCAUCUGAGCCCCAUGGUUCCUUAUUCUCCCUCCACAUCCCAUGCCCAGUGCACUGUGGGCUCUCCCGUCCUCUUUCCUCUCCUCUCUUCUGACUGGCCCACUAGCCCCACCACCAGCCAGACUCUGGAGCCCAGGUUGUCGCAAAGUCAGGGGUGGAGGGAAAACCCGAGCCUCACACACAUUCGUGAUACCUGCUGAGCCCACAGUCACAAGAACUUUCUUCCUUUCAGUCCUCAGUGUGACUUCAUGGCCCAAGAGAAGUUCUGCUGCCCAGUUUCCCAGGCUGCUUCUGCUGUUCAGUCUUCCCUGAGGACAGACACACUGUAGGCCCUGCUCAGUGUGGGGCAGUGGGAUCAGAGGCUCCCAUGACCUGUGACCACUGGCCCCAUGUCCAUGAUGCUGAUAUUAAGCAAAAUCUUGAGGACAAAUGGAGCUGCCUGUCAGGCCCUUCCAGUGAUUUACUGGGACUGUCCGGACAAAGCUUCGAUCUAUCCAGCAGGAGUGUGGCCUUUACUUCAAGAAAAGCCAAUUAUGAGAAAUCCAAACAGGAGAAACCAAAAUGAGGACAAAGGGAUUCACAUUACAUACAAAUGGAUUCUUUGCAAAAGACUUCCGAUGGCACCCGUCUGUUGUGUAAAAAGAGGCACCCUUAGGUGUGGGAUUGUAGGGUGACCUCGGAGUGAGUCCUUUAAGAUGAAACCACUCCUCUUCAGUAGACCUGCAGUGAUAUGUUAACCCUGAGCUUUGCCAAGACGAUCAAUGGCCCCAAAUGUAGGAACUUGCCCCAGGGAAGAAAUUUAUCAGGUUCCACCACCCAUAAGAAUUUUAAUCUCUCUCUAGGAGGUCACUCCAAAUCAGAAAUAAAAGUUCGCAGAUGAUCAUUUAAA